rnacentral:lncRNA from 1 species
CCUUUGUUUAUCAUGCAUAUUAAUUAAUCCUAGUCGUUGUAAUUUCAUAACAUAGGAAGAAUUCAAAUGUCCUAAUCUUGCAUGCCAUAAAUCAUAUGAGUCAACAAUAUAAGCAUAAGAGACCUUGAUCACAAUAUCCCUUCCCCAUAAAAAAAAAAAAAAUUUUGUCAUAAUGAUCUUGUCAAACUCAAAUGACACUUUAACCCC